rnacentral:tRNA from 1 species
GAUUAUUUAAUUUAAUAAAAAUAUUUAUUUUGAAAAUAAAAUUUAGAGAAAUGUAUUCUAAUAAUCU